CUCGUAGGUGGCCAACUAAGUCGGACGUGAAAUCCCUCGGCUUAACCGGGGAACCGCGUCCGAUACUGGUUGGCUUGAGUUUGGGAGAGGGAUGCGGAAUUCCAGGUGUAGCGGUGAAAUGCGUAGAUAUCUGGAGGAACACCGGUGGCGAAGGCGGCAUCCUGGACCAAUACUGACGCUGAGGAGCGAAAGCCAGGGGAGGCAAACG
rnacentral:rRNA from 1 species